rnacentral:lncRNA from 1 species
GGACUCUCCUUUCUUCAUCCGGGUCGCAUUGUUUGUUUGUUUGUUUGUCUGUCUGUCUGUCUGUCUGUCUGUUUAGCUGUCUUUCUGUCUGUGUGAUGUAAUUAUUCCUACCACCACCUCGAGGAAGUGGUGGUGGUGGUGGUGCCAGUUUUGCAAGCAGGAGGAGGAGUGGCAAGCUUCGGCAUGCUGAAGUUGGAAACAGACAAGAGGUCCCGUGGAGGAAUGGGUGUCUCUUGUUAUACCAGCAGAGAGAGAGCUCAGUGCAAGUCCAGUAACAUGUGUAACGUGACGAGCUGGGCAACUUGACUGGCACAGUGAGUUUACUUCACACUACUUACUUUACUUACUAGCUCACGAUCCACAUCCUGCAAGCGCCGCAGAAGAAGCAGCAGCAGCAGCAGGAGGAGGACCAGGAGCACAGCACUAUGGCUACUGGAGGAGGGUCUGUUGUUGCAGGUGGUGGAAACUGGGCCCGUGCAAAACUCCUUUUUGGGCUCCAGGAGACUUAAAUUGCUCGCGCUCGCGCAUGGGUGGCCAGCUGGUCCUCCGCGCUCGCCGAACCCCCACUGGCUGCAUGACAGAGCCUCACAGCAGCAAAGGAGGUGUCAGUGCGGGGAAGGGAGAGGGUCUGAUCAGAUCCGAGCUCGGCCUCCGAGAACCUGGUUCGCUGCUGUCGCUCAUGGGUCCGGCGGGACACCAGGGCAGGGGCAGAGGCCUUGCUUAGCUUUCUACCACCUCGCAAGACCUGGGUCCACCCUAAGCGCCUGCCGGAUUUAGCCUCUGGUCAUUUCUCCGCCACCGAGCUUCCCGGCAUUGUGCCCUUCAUCUCUCCGGAAGGCUACUGCAGUUCCUGUCCUUCGAAUAGGUUUUGGUCUGUCUCUGCUCCCCGUCGACGUGUCUGCACUGUGCCGCCUGUUUCGUCUCCAGCUGUAGCUGUGCGUCCGUGACCGGCGUAGGUGUAGGGGCGGAUCUUGAGAGAGUGAGAGAGUGCCCUUUUCGUGGGCAUUUAGUCCCACAAUUUUUUGCCUUUGCGCGAUCAUCUGCAAAUUGGGGCUGGAUACUUGCUGAUCCAGCUCCAGGGUGCAAGCCACCUCCAGUUCAUGUCCUUCGCGCACGAGAGCUUGCUGUCCCAUUUUCAGCACCAGAUGCCAGAAUUUGCCUCCUUAUUCUAAUGAGCUCCACCACAUGAAGGAACUGGCAUGCAUGUGGCCGAAAAGCUAAUUGUAUUCUGCGUCGCGAUCUAAUUUCUGCAUUCCAAUAUUUUGACUAAUGUGCGUGGAAUCUGACAGCAACGCAGGCUGGAGGAUGUAGUAAACUAUUCCAUGGGUCCUACAGUGGUGGUCAUUUGUUUCUGCAGUCGCGAUUAAACUAGACAUUUCUUUCAUGUGUAUAUUUUACAAACACACCUGUACAUAUUAACUCACGGAAACUUAAUCCAACUUCUACAAAAACACCGAGAGACUAUUUCUAAUAAUGUUAGGUCCUCAGAAUGCAACGACCAUUUAACCUAGAAUGUUCACUAUCCUGAAAUUUUUGACUUCAGUAGUCACGAGUUUUUCCCCACAAACAGCAGAUAGAAGACUCAGGCUGGGCAUCCAAAUGAUAUGCUGUUCAUAAAUGAAUUCCAGAAGUAUAAAAAUACAGCAUGAACAGCUC